GACAUAGGUGGCGAACGUUAUCCGGAUUCAUUGGGCGUAAAGGGUGCGUAGGCGGCGGGGCAAGUCUGAUGUGAAAUCCCGGGGCUCAACCCCGGAACUGCAUUGGAUACUGCCUUGCUCGAGUACUGGAGAGGGAACUGGAAUUUACGGUGUAGCAGUGAAAUGCGUAGAGAUCGUAAGGAAGGCCAGUGGCGAAGGCGAGUUCCUGGACAGUUACUGACGCUGAGGCACGAAGGCCAGGGGAGCAAACGGG
rnacentral:rRNA from 1 species